GGCUCGAUGGUCUAAGUGGUAUGAUUCUCGCUUCGGGUGGAGAGGUCCCGGUUCAAUCGGUCGAGCCC